UACGGGGGGAGCAAGCGUUGUUCGGAUUUACUGGGCGUAAAGGGCGCGUAGGCGGCGUGACAAGUCACUUGUGAAAUCUCCGGGCUUAACCCGGAACGGUCAAGUGAUACUGCCGUGCUAGAGUACAGAAGGGGCAACUGGAAUUCUCGGUGUAGCGGUGAAAUGCGUAGAUAUCGAGAGGAACACCUGCGGCGAAGGCGGGUUGCUGGGCUGAUACUGACGCUGAGGCGCGAAAGCCAGGGGAGCGAACGGG
rnacentral:rRNA from 1 species